UGUUUAUAUUUGAGAUUUGACCUGCCCAAUGAUUUAUUUAAUGGCCGCGGUAUCUUGACCGUGCAAAGGUAGCAUAAUCAUUAGUCAUUUAAUUGUUGACUUGUAUGAAUGGUUGGACGAAGUAUUAACUGUCUUAAUUAUAUAUUUAGAAUUUAAAUUUUAAGUUAAAAUGCUUAAAUUUUUUUAUAGGACGAGAAGACCCUAUAGAUCUUUAUUAAAUAAUUUAUUUUAUGUUUUAGUUAAAAUUUUUAAAUUAAGUUAUUUUAUUUUGUUGGGGUGACAAGGAGAUAAGAUUAACUCUUUAUUUUUUUUUUCAUUUAUUUAUGAUUUUUUGACCUUUUAUUAUUGUAAUAAGAUAAAGAUACCUUAGGGAUAACAGCGUAAUUCUUUUUGAGAGUUCAUAUCGACAAAAGAGAUUGCGACCUCGAUGUUGAAUUAAGAUUAUAAAUAGGUGUAGGUGCUUAUUAAUUAAGUCUGUUCGACUUUUAAAUUCUUAC
rnacentral:rRNA from 1 species